ACAGAGGGUGCAAGCGUUGUUCGGAAUUAUUGGGCGUAAAGCGCGUGUAGGCGGGAUGGCAAGUCGGGUGUGAAAGCCCUCAGCUCAACUGAGGAAGUGCGGCAGAAACUACCAUACUUGAGUUCCAGAGAGGGUGGCGGAAUUCCCGGUGUAGAGGUGAAAUUCUUAGAUAUCGGGAGGAACACCAGUGGCGAAGGCGGCCACCUGGAUGGACACUGACGCUGAGACGCGAAAGCGUGGGGAGCGAACAG
rnacentral:rRNA from 1 species